AAGACCUCACACACACUCAUUCUAGCACUUUAUUGGAAACUGGCUGUGCACAUCAAUGAAAACAGAUCAAAGUAAAGGCAUCAUUUUUACACAAUAAUAUCCUGAUAUCGGUGCUAUCUUCUAACAUAAUUUAAUAAAUCCCAGGAUGCUCCUGAUUUUGGUCAAAGAGCUUGGAUGGUCCAGAAAUCUCUCUAUAUAAAUAUAAAUUAUAGCAUCUAAAAUAACCAUCAUUGUUUUGAGUUAGUUCCAAAAGUCCUGGGAACAUGUCUUAAAAUGCAAGUCUGUACCUUGGACUGGCGGCAGUGCUGGUGGGAGGGAGUGAAGGGAUACACGUUACACCAUGGAGCUAAUUAUAGCAGGAGCCGGGGCAGAGCUCCUCUAUGUGGGGCAUACAGGGGGAUGGGGCCUGGAGAUCCCGAGAGCUGCCCAGGGAACUGAGCCACCCUGCAUUUUCCAACAUUGCAUAGGGGCAGAGACUGUAGCACAGAGAAAGUCUCAGGAAGUUCCACCCAUCUCCCUUCCCCUGCCAUGCUCGAGUACCUCCCAAAUUAGGAAACUUGAGGGAGUGACACUCAAAGAAGACCACUUUUGAGCCAAUGCAUUGCUGGCGCCUUGGAAUGAAGACAGGGUGGAUUUGCUUGGUUUGACCCAAGGAGCAUGGGCACAGGCUGCUCUGACCCCACUGUCUCCCUCACCACCUUGAAAGCCAUCAUCAGCAGUUAGAUCCUUUGGUUCUUGAGAGCUUCUCGGCACUCAGCAACAACACCUACAUAUCUGUGGUGACUUAACUGCUCACAAACAGCUUUAACCUCCACUAAGUCACUGGUUCUCACAAACCUAUGAGGUAGGAAGGGGAGGGAUCAUAAUCCCCAUUUAAAAGAUAAGGAACCUGGAACUCACAGAACUAGGUCCCUUGACCACACAGCUGGCCAGUGGCAGAAUCAAAAUCAGAACUCAGGUCUCCCCUCGCAUAUCAAGCUCCAGAGUCCACACACCAAAGUCCCUCCUGCUGCCUUUCUGAGAAAGGGGAAGAGGCAUGGGAAGGGGAUGCUGUCCUCAUCCCUCACCUGCCCCUCCUGGGAGGUUCUCAGACAGCCCCAUUGAGGACAGGAUGAGUCCGCAUGCGAUAGAUGAUGACAGCAGUGGCUGGGCACAGCAACAACGAGGUCAUGAUGACAAUGGUGGCCAGGAUGAUGAGGACAAUAACCCAGAUAUCCAGAAUGUGCUUGGGGAGCACGACUUCCACGGGGACCUGGCUGACGGCAUCCAUGCUGCUUCACUCUGC
rnacentral:lncRNA from 1 species